GACGAACGCUGGUGGCGUGCUUAACACAUGCAAGUCGAGCGAUGAAACACCUUCGGGUGUGAAUUAGCGGCGAACGGGUGAGGAACACGUGAGAAAUCUGCCUUCAACACUGGGAUAACUCCGGGAAACCGGGGCUAAUACCGGAUAUGAAAUCUGCGGGCAUCCGCGGAUUUGGAAAGUUUUUCGGUUGAAGAUGAUCUCGCGGCCUAUCAGCUUGUUGGUGAGGUAAUGGCUCACCAAGGCGACGACGGGUAGCCGGCCUGAGAGGGCGACCGGCCACACUGGGACUGAGACACGGCCCAGACUCCUACGGGAGGCAGCAGUGGGGAAUAUUGGGCAAUGGAGGAAACUCUGACCCAGCGACGCCGCGUGCGGGAUGAAGGCCUUCGGGUUGUAAACCGCUUUCAGCAGGGAAGAAGCGAAAGUGACGGUACCUGCAGAAGAAGCACCGGCUAACUAUGUGCCAGCAGCCGCGGUAAUACAUAGGGUGCAAGCGUUGUCCGGAAUUAUUGGGCGUAAAGAGCUCGUAGGUGGUUCGUCACGUCGGAUGUGAAACUCUGGGGCUUAACCCCAGACCUGCAUUCGAUACGGGCGAGCUUGAGUAUGGUAGGGGAGUCUGGAAUUCCUGGUGUAGCGGUGGAAUGCGCAGAUAUCAGGAGGAACACCAAUGGCGAAGGCAGGACUCUGGGCCAUUACUGACACUGAGGAGCGAAAGCGUGGGGAGCGAACAGGAUUAGAUACCCUGGUAGUCCACGCCGUAAACGGUGGGCACUAGUUGUGGGGACCUUCCACGGUCUCUGCGACGCAGCUAACGCAUUAAGUGCCCCGCCUGGGGAGUACGAUCGCAAGAUUA
rnacentral:rRNA from 1 species